rnacentral:rRNA from 1 species
CAGUCGCCGCGGGAAUACAGAGGGUGCGAGCGUUAAUCGGAUUUACUGGGCGUAAAGCGUGCGUAGGCGGCUUUUUAAGUCGGAUGUGAAAUCCCUGAGCUUAACUUAGGAAUUGCAUUCGAUACUGGGAAGCUAGAGUAUGGGAGAGGAUGGUAGAAUUCCAGGUGUAGCGGUGAAAUGCGUAGAGAUCUGGAGGAAUACCGGUGGCGAAGGCGGCCCCCUGGACAAAGACUGACGCUCAGGUGCGAAAGCGUGGGGAGCAAACAGGAUUAGAUACCCCAGUAGUCCCUGUCUCUUAUAC